rnacentral:rRNA from 1 species
UACGGUAGGGUGCAAGCGUUGUCCGGAAUUAUUGGGCGUAAAGAGCUCGUAGGCGGUCUGUCGCGUCGGCUGUGAAAACUCGGGGCUCAACUCCGAGCUUGCAGUCGAUACGGGCAGGCUAGAGUGCGGUAGGGGAGAUUGGAAUUCCUGGUGUAGCGGUGGAAUGCGCAGAUAUCAGGAGGAACACCGAUGGCGAAGGCAGAUCUCUGGGCCGUAACUGACGCUGAGGAGCGAAAGCAUGGGGAGCGAACAGG